rnacentral:lncRNA from 1 species
GUAAAAAUACUAAUAGGCUACAUUUACGAGACUGGCGCACAUUUCUUCUACGGUUAUAUUCAAGGAACGGACUAUUUACUCUCGAUGGGUUUUUCUUCCUUCCUCCCCCUACUCCCACAAUCCCCUCUCUCCUCCACCUUUUAUAUCGUGAACGCGCAAUAGGCUGCUAUUAAAUGGGCGGACUCGGAGGCGCGGUCACGUUCAGAGCGGCUCCGGUGGGUUUGAGUGGCACAUAAAAGUGCGCGAGCCACCGGCCGACCGGCGGAACUCUACCUCUCCUCUAUGAGACCGGAUCGGAGCUGACUGACACCGGGGAUCGGAACCAGAGCCGGUGACUCAUCUGAACAAACCAGCCACACUUUGAAGGCAACUGGUUGGAUCUGGACUUCCACUGUAGACAUCAGGGAAAAUCCAAGAAGGUCACCCUCUACCUCACCGUGGCCCAUUGCGUGGGAUGCUGGAGAGCAGAAGAGCGGGGGUGGAGAUUUGAUGCCACUUGGCAAUAUUAA